rnacentral:rRNA from 1 species
AGAGUUUGAUCAUGGCUCAGAGUGAACGCUGGCGGCGUGCCUAACACAUGCAAGUCGAACGAGAACGGCCCUAGCUUGCUAGGGUGUCAGCUCAGUGGCGCACGGGUGAGUAAUGUAUAGGUAACAUGCCCCUCGGAGGGGGAUAACGGCUGGAAACGGCCGCUAAUACCCCAUACUCCUUUGCAGCGGAAGCUGUAGAGGGAAACGGUGCAUUCUGCCGAGGGAUUGGCCUGUAUCGUAUCAGCUAGUUGGUGGGGUAAUGGCCUACCAAGGCGAUGACGCGUAGCUGGUCUGAGAGGAUGAUCAGCCACACUGGAACUGAGACACGGUCCAGACUCCUACGGGAGGCAGCAGUGGGGAAUAUUGCGCAAUGGGGGGAACCCUGACGCAGCAACGCCGCGUGGAGGAUGACGCAUUUCGGUGUGUAAACUCCUUUUCUGCCGGAAGAUGAUGACGGUAUGGCAGA